rnacentral:tRNA from 1 species
GCCGACGUAGCUCAGCUGGCAGAGCAGUCGCCUCGUAAGCGACAGGUCCGGGGUUCGAAUCCCCGCGUCGGCUCCA